CUAUCGUUUUUUCGAACUAUGUGCCCUGCAAAUUGCCACUUCCUGUAUCCAAUACGGAUGAUAUAUUAUUUCCUAAUUACUAUCCAAUCAUUCAUACUAAUUAUUACUACAGAACAUGUAGAGUUCUGUCAUCGGUGUUAAUCGUGUAGGUAAGUAUUCGUAAAAUAAAAGGCUAUAUUUUUCAUUCUCUGCUAUCAGUCGAAUACCUACUCGACUAUUUUGUU